UACAGAGGUCUCAAGCGUUGUUCGGAUGCAUUGGGCGUAAAGGGUGCGUAGGCGGCGCGGUAAGUCGGGUGUGAAAUCUCGGAGCUUAACUCCGAAACUGCAUUCGAUACUGCGGUGCUUGAGGACUGGAGAGGAGACUGGAAUUCAUGGUGUAGCAGUGAAAUGCGUAGAGAUCAUGAGGAAGACCAGUGGCGAAGGCGGGUCUCUGGACAGUUCCUGACACUGAGACACGAAGGCCAGGGGAGCAAACGGG
rnacentral:rRNA from 1 species